rnacentral:rRNA from 1 species
UUCGGGUCGCCGGCGAGUGGCGAACGGGUGAGUAACGCGUGGAUACCUGUCCUGUGGUGGGGAAUAACGUUUAGAAAUGAACGCUAAUACCGCAUAAGCCCUACGGGGGAAAGAUUUAUCGCCAUAGGAGGGGUCCGCGUCGGAUUAGCUAGUUGGUGGGGUAACGGCCUACCAAGGCGACGAUCCGUAGCUGGUCUGAGAGGAUGAUCAGCCACACUGGGACUGAGACACGGCCCAGACUCCUACGGGAGGCAGCAGUGGGGAAUAUUGCGCAAUGGAGGAAACUCUGACGCAGCGACGCCGCGUGGGUGAAGAAGGCCUUAGGGUUGUAAAGCCCUUUCAGUGGGAAAGAUUAUGACGGUACCCACAGAAGAAGCCCCGGCUAACUCCGUGCCAGCAGCCGCGGUAAUACGGAGGGGGCCAGCAUUGUUCGGAAUUACUGGGCGUAAAGGGCGCGUAGGCGGUUGAUCAAG